GUAGGUGGCAAGCGUUGUCCGGAAUUAUUGGGCGUAAAGCGCGCGCAGGCGGUUCUUUAAGCCUGAUGUGAAAGCCCACGGGCUCAACCGUGGAGGGUCAUUGGAAACUGGAGAACUUGAGUACAGAAGAGGAAAGCGGAAUUCCACGUGUAGCGGUGAAAUGCGUAGAGAUGUGGAGGAACACCAGUGGCGAAGGCGGCUUUCUGGUCUGUAACUGACGCUGAGGCGCGAAAGCGUGGGGAGCAAACAGGAUUAGAUACCCUGGUAGUCCACGCCGUAAACGAUGAGUGCUAAGUGUUAGGGGGUUUCCGCCCCUUAGUGCUGCAGCUAACGCAUUAAGCACUCCGCCUGGGGAGUACGGCCGCAAGGCUA
rnacentral:rRNA from 1 species